UUGUUCAACGAAUGUUUGACGUUCUUCUUGAAGCUUGCUUGAAAAAUCCAAUCUUCUGUGUACGCCGUACAUGAUGUUGGAACUUCAAACACGUCAAAAGGUUCACGUUUAAUCACUGUGUUAGUUUUUCCUCUGCUGUUUGGACAAGUUAUGGUGAUUGUCAUUUGUUGUGCUGAGGUGUAUCCCCAUCUUCGGUGUCCCAGGUAUACAGUUUGUUGUCCGGUCCAUGGAGAUAAUUUCGUUGAACAUUGUACGCGGCUUCUUUUCUCAUCUUUUAGAAACAAUGCCAUUGCGCAGCUUGGCUCCCUAUGCCUUUUGUUUAUUGCUUUGCUGAUAGGGCAAAUCGAUGUGGUUGUCAUCAUGCAGCGAUGUGCUUCGUGUGUUGACAAUUCGGUAAACGCUUGUCUAUCGUUUGCCACAGCUAAGAAUGCCGGUAACGGAUGAAACUGUGCCCCUUGGGUGGCGUUUUUCGUUGGUCUUGGCAAGCUUAUUACCUCGUAUAGAGUGAAUCCAAAUGGGAACUCGAACACAGACUUGCCAGGUGUCUCCCAUUUGAAUAGAAGGGCUCAAUGACCAUCGCUCAUUGACCAUCGCAAUAACACUGCUUGGAUUUGCAUAGGUGGGAAAAGUAGUGCUGGAAGUCUUUCUAUUGCCAUUGUUGCUAGGCCGAAGGCAAAAUCUUCAAUCGAUUCGUCCAGCCAUGCCAAGGCUGACUUGAUUUCACGAAAGGUGUUUUCAAUGGCUGCUCUGGCUAUUUCAUGUUUUUCAACUUCUUGGCGUUUUGCAGUUCUUCAACGGCGUUCGACGUUGAUUUUGUUUCCCAAAGCGUCUCGUUGAUUAGUGACGCGUGCACUUCCAAUGCGUGAGCGAUUGAAGUGGUUUCUGUUGAUAACUUUUCAACAUGAUUGUUGACGUGUUCUAGAUCUUCUUCAGUUGACACCCCAAAGAGCCAAUUGAGAACUUUUCCUCCUCCAUCGAUUAGGCCUCUUUUCUUACGGGUACUGCCUAUAUUUACUGCUUGUUUUAGUUCUCUAAGUCUUUCUUGACUCUUUUUCAG